rnacentral:rRNA from 1 species
UCGAGAAUCUUCCCCAAUGGACGAAAGUCUGAGGGAGCGACGCCGCAUGAGGGAUGAAGGCCCUUUGGGUUGUAAACCUCUGUUAGGGGGAAAGAACAGCAGUGGAAGCAACAUGUCCAUUGCCUGACGUUACCCCCAGAGAAAGCUCCGGCCAACUCCGUGCCAGCAGCCGCGGUACUCCGGGGGGAGCAAGCGUUGUCCGGAAUCAUUGGGCGUAAAGGGCGUGUAGGCGGUUAGGCAAGUCGAAUGUGAAAUCCCACGGCUCAACCGUGGAACUGCGUUCGAAACUGCCCUACGUGAGUGCGGGAGAGGUGUGCGGAAUUCCUGGUGUAGCGGUGGAAUGCGUAGAUAUCAGGAAGAACACCGGUGGCGAAGGCGGCACACUGGCCCAGCACUGACGCUGAGGCACGAAAGCGUGGGGAGCGAACG